rnacentral:rRNA from 1 species
CCUAAAGAGUAACGGAGGAGUACGAAGGUGCGCUCAGCGUGGUCGGAAAUCACGCGUAGAGUAUAAAGGCAAAAGCGCGCUUAACUGCGAGACCCACAAGUCGAGCAGGUACGAAAGUAGGUCUUAGUGAUCCGGUGGUUCUGUAUGGAAGGGCCAUCGCUCAACGGAUAAAAGGUACUCUGGGGAUAACAGGCUGAUACCGCCCAAGAGUUCAUAUCGACGGCGGUGUUUGGCACCUCGAUGUCGGCUCAUCUCAUCCUGGGGCUGAAGCAGGUCCCAAGGGUAUGGCUGUUCGCCAUUUAAAGAGGUACGCGAGCUGGGUUUAGAACGUCGUGAGACAGUUCGGUCCCUAUCUACCGUGGGCGCUGGAAAUUUGAGAGGAUCUGCUCCUAGUACGAGAGGACCAGAGUGGACGAACCUCUGGUGUACCGGUUGUGACGCCAGUCGCAUCGCCGGGUAGCUAUGUUCGGAAGGGAUAACCGCUGAAAGCAUCUAAGCGGGAAGCCUACCUCAAGAUAAGAUUUCCCUAGGACUUUAUGUCCUCUAAAGAGCCGUUGAAGACUACGACGUUGAUAGGUUGGAUGU